UCCCUGGUAGCUCAGAUGGUAAAGAAUCUGCCUGCAAUGCAGAAGACCUGGGUUUGACCCCUGGUUGGGAAG
rnacentral:tRNA from 1 species